rnacentral:rRNA from 1 species
ACUCAAAGGAAUUGACGGGGGCCCGCACAAGCGGUGGAGCAUGUUGUUCAAUUCGACGCAACGCGAAGAACCUUACCUGGGUUAAAUCCACCGGAAGUCCGCAGAGAUGUGGAUGUGCCCUUCGGGGAACCGGUGAGAAGGUGCUGCAUGGCUGUCGUCAGCUCGUGUCGUGAGAUGUUGGGUUAAGUCCCGCAACGAGCGCAACCCUUGUCGUUAGUUGGUACCAGUUCAGCUGACCACUCUAACGAGACUGCCGGCGUCAAGCCGGAGGAAGGUGGGGACGACGUCAAGUCCUCAUGGCCCUUAUGCCCAGGGCUACAAACGUGCUACAAUGGCCGGUACAAAGCGCAGCUAACCCGCGAGGGGGCGCCAAUCGCAAAAAACCGGUCUCAGUUCGGAUUGGAGUCUGCAACUCGACUCCAUGAAGUUGGAAUCGCUAGUAAUCGCUGAUCAGCAGGCAGCGGUGAAUACGUUCCCGGGCCUUGUACACACCGCCCGU